rnacentral:rRNA from 1 species
UAACACCAGCCCCUCGAGUGGUGGGGACGUUUAUUGGGCCUAAAGCGUCCGUAGCCGGCUCGGUAAGUCCCUCGUUAAAUCCAGCGUCCUAAGCGCUGGGCCGCGAGGGAGACUACAGAGCUAGAGGGUGGGAGAGGUCAGCGGUAUUUCUGGGGUAGGGGCGAAAUCCUUUGAUCCCAGGAGGACCACCAGUGGCGAAGGCUGCUGACUAGAACACGCCUGACGGUCAGGGACGAAAGCUGGGGUAGCGAAUCGGAUUAGAUACCCGAGUAGUCCCAGCUGUAAACGAUGCAGGCUAGGUGUUGGGUCGGCCACGUGCCGCCUCAGUGCCACAGGGAAGCCGUUAAGCCUGCCGCCUGGGGAGUACGGCCGCAAGGCUG